CAGCUCUCCGAGUGGUAGGGAUGUUUAUUGGGCUUAAAGCGUCCGUAGCCCGCUUAGCAAGUCUCCUGUUAAAUUCAGCGACCUAAUCGUUGAGCCGCGGGAGAUACUACUAGGCUAGGAGGCGGGAGAGGUCGACGGUACUUCUGGGGUAGGGGUGAAAUCCUAUAAUCCCGGGAGGACCACCAGUGGCGAAGGCUGUUGACUAGAACGCGCUCGACGGUGAGGGACGAAAGCUGGGGGAGCGAACCGGAUUAGAGACCCGAGUAGUCC
rnacentral:rRNA from 1 species